GGGGUUGUAGCUCAGUGGUAAAGCACUUACCUUGCAUGCAUGAGGCCCUGGGUUCAAUCCUCAGCAUCACAU
rfam:Ictidomys tridecemlineatus contig015846, whole genome shotgun sequence.